rnacentral:rRNA from 1 species
CUCGAACUCCGAACGGGCAAGGAGCCGGGGUCGCCCCGAUCGGACCCCGGACGUGAAGUCGACGAUGGUCGGUGGGCUGGUUUUGGUAAGCAGAACGGGCGAUUCGGGAUGAACCGGAAGCGGGGAGAAAGGGCCCGAGAUUGCGUCGACGCGGAUCCCGAAAAGGGCGUCGAUCCGUCGCGACAGCGGGACGGUGGUCAUGGAAGUCGAAAUCCGCUAAGAAGCGUGUAAAAACGUACCCGCCCAACGGAUCGGCCCCGAAAAUUGAUGGCGCUCGAACGCAACCCUCGAACCCCGCCGACGGAGGCUAGGGGAGGCCCCGUCGAGUAGGCGGACGCGCGGGUCGCUUCGACGCUCCCGCGCGAGCGGGGGCGGAGCGGCCCGUGGUGCACAUCUUGGUGGUAGUAGCGAUCACCCAGGCGAGAACCCCUGAGGGCCGAAGUGGAGAAGGGUUUCUCGAGAACGGCAC